rnacentral:miRNA from 1 species
CCGGAUGAAAAUUCCAUCCGACC